AUCACCUAGGGAAUUUUGUUAAAAUGCAGAUUCUAAUCCAGCAGGACUGAGGUGGGGCCUGAGGUUCUGCAUUUCUAACAUACUUCUAGGUGAUUUCAA
rnacentral:pre_miRNA from 1 species